CAUGACAUUCUAUAGCACUAUUUGCAUAUAAAAGUAGCAUUCUUCACAAGUCCGGCAAUUACACAAAGAAGAAAAAUACAAUCAAUCAGAGAAAAUAAACCCAUUAAAAAAAUGCAUCUAGUAAAGAAAAACAGUUGGAAAUAUGAAAGCACGCAGUCAUACGAUACAACUUGGCACAUAUAAAAGAAAACAAUAAACCGAGAGAGAGAGAGACCAUCUGAAAUCCCAUUUGUUUGGAGCUCCGGUAGUGAGGUCAGCAGCUAAGUUUUCCAUGUUUUUGGGUAUGGAAUUCGAAAACAGGGAAGGAACAACUUUCGCGUC
rnacentral:lncRNA from 1 species